rnacentral:misc_RNA from 1 species
GUUUUAUGAACGUAAGAAAUAUGGUUUUAUGAUGGCCACUUGUAACAUCUUUAGGUACAAAGUACAAACUUCAAAUUAUUUAGGACAGUUUAGAUUGGGUCUCUCCAUGGAUAGCAACAAAGACAGAAAAUAAAAGCAGCAUACAUGCCUAAAGCUCAUCAUCUUUUCUUAAACCCAUAUUUCUUACGUUCAUAAAACAAAUCUGUUUUAGCGCUCCCUAAAUUAACAAUUUUCGGACACCCAUCCCUAUCUUUCUCCUGUUGUGUGCACUCUUUGCAAUAGUAGGCAUCGGAUAUACCAACCCCUCCACAGNCGACCUUGGAAGGAUCCAUAAUUGCACUCAUCACAAAUUCGCACCAGUGUGCAAGGACGCACAUAGGAAUCACAUAUCACACAUUUCCCAUCAUCUUUCUCACAAAGUCUUCCAAUGGCAAUUCCUGGUUGCUUCCGGCACAUAAUCAAAUCCGGAUGAUGCUUGGCCAUAAUUCGAGGUCCUAGUUUCUACUGUAUAACUAUAACCUGAGCCGAACUCCGCACCGUCAGAGGUACAGCAAAAUGAAAUUGAUUUUGUUUUCUACAAACCCUAAUCGAAACCGACACCCACACUUAACAGCAGAGGUUUAACUAUACAUGGGCUCAGGCGUG